CAGCUGCCAGAUUGUGAGGACACUCAAGAAGCCUUAUGGAGAAACCCACCUGCUGAGGAACAGAAGCGCCUGCCAACAGUCGUGAAAUUGUCCAAUUUUUGUCUACUGGGAUCACUUUGACAGAGGGCUGUAAAGCAAGGAGGAAGCCUGACUCCAAGAAAAGAGCGAAGGAAGCAAAUGCACCAUCAACAUCUGGACGGUGCAGAUGGAGUUCACCUUAAAUGUAAUUAAGCAAAUUGGCAUCUUCCUGGACAUGAGGUGUCUACGACCCCACAUUCCUCACAGUUACAGUAAACGUCUGUUGUCAUGUGGAUAACAAGAGAAUAGAGAUGAAGAAGGACAGACAAUAGACUCG